CGUUGCCUACGGGGGGCAGCAGUGGGGAAUAUUGGGCAAUGGACGCAAGUCUGACCCAGCAACGCCGCGUGAAGGAGGAAGGCUUUCGGGUUGUAAACUUCUUUUAAGGGGGAAGAGCAGAAGACGGUACCCCUUGAAUAAGCCACGGCUAACUACGUGCCAGCAGCCGCGGUAAUACGUAGGUGGCAAGCGUUGUCCGGAUUUACUGGGUGUAAAGGGCGUGCAGCCGGGAGGACAAGUCAGAUGUGAAGUCCCGCGGCUCAACCGCGGAACUGCAUUUGAAACUGUUUUUCUUGAGUAUCGGG
rnacentral:rRNA from 1 species